UACAGAGGGGGCAAGCGUUGUUCGGAAUUACUGGGCGUAAAGGGCGCGUAGGCGGCCUUCUAAGUCGAACGUGAAAUCCCCGGGCUCAACCCGGGAACUGCGUCCGAUACUGGAAGGCUUGAAUCCGGGAGAGGGAUGUGGAAUUCCAGGUGUAGCGGUGAAAUGCGUAGAUAUCUGGAGGAACACCGGUGGCGAAGGCGGCAUCCUGGACCAACAUUGACGCUGAGGAGCGAAAGCUAGGGGAGCAAACGGG
rnacentral:rRNA from 1 species